rnacentral:rRNA from 1 species
UACGUAGGGGGCUAGCGUUGUCCGGAAUCAUUGGGCGUAAAGAGCGUGUAGGCGGUCCGGUAAGUCCGCUGUGAAAGUCGGGGGCUCAACCCUCGAAUGCCGGUGGAUACUGUCGGGCUAGAGUGCGGAAGAGGCGAGUGGAAUUCCUGGUGUAGCGGUGAAAUGCGCAGAUAUCAGGAGGAACACCGAUGGCGAAGGCUGGUCUCUGGGCAUUAACUGACGCUGAGGAGCGAAAGCAUGGGGAGCGAACAGG